UGCCAGACUCCUACGGGAGGCAGCAGUGGGGAAUAUUGCACAAUGGGGGAAACCCUGAUGCAGCGACGCCGCGUGAGCGAUGAAGUAUUUCGGUAUGUAAAGCUCUAUCAGCAGGGAAGAAGAUGACGGUACCUGACUAAGAAGCCCCGGCUAACUACGUGCCAGCAGCCGCGGUAAUACGUAGGGGGCAAGCGUUAUCCGGAUUUACUGGGUGUAAAGGGAGCGUAGACGGCGGUGCAAGCCAGAUGUGAAAGCCCGGGGCUCAACCCCGGGACUGCAUUUGGAACUGUAUGGCUGGAGUGUCGGAGAGGCAGGCGGAAUUCCUAGUGUAGCGGUGAAAUGCGUAGAUAUUAGGAGGAACACCAGUGGCGAAGGCGGCCUGCUGGACGAUGACUGACGUUGAGGCUCGAAAGCGUGGGGAGCAAACAGGAUUAGAUACCCGAGUA
rnacentral:rRNA from 1 species